AACGUAGGACGCGAGCGUUAUCCGGAGUUACUGGGCGUAAAGCGCGGGCAGGCGGCCCAACAAGUCUGAUGUGAAAACGCCCGGCUCAACCGGGCGAGGCCAUUGGAAACUGUGGGGCUGGAGGGCAGUAGAGGUAGGCGGAAUUCCGGGUGGAGUGGUGAAAUGCGUAGAGAUCCGGAGGAACACCAGAGGCGAAGGCGGCCUACUGGGCUGCACCUGACGCUGAGCCGCGAAAGCCAGGGGAGCGAACGGG
rnacentral:rRNA from 1 species